GAAUCCAGCUGGUUGAAGUAGCGUUAUACGUGGUGGGGGAGGUGAGGGGGGAGUACAUGUGAUAUUUCAAUGUUUGUCGUGUAGCGUACUGUUUGUUUGGGAUCUGAUAGUAGUAAUGGAAUGGCAUUGCUUUGAGAAGAUCCUGAGAUGUUUCAGCUUGGAAAGAUGACUACAGGGGAAAUUACGCAAAUGCAUGAAAUUAUGAAUACUGUAAGAAUGCUUCCUAACCAGAAGUGUCAGAGUACAACCUCUGACGUUUUUAGGCACUAAAAGUAAAGAAAACUAAAGAGAAUAUUUUCUCAUACAGCACAGGUGAAAGAUUUUUACUCCACUGCCAAGGGUUCCGUGGGUGUCUUAUUAGUCAGGCAGUUCACAGAAGAUGAGUCCACAGGUGUGUUGUCUGGAUCCGGUUUCUGUCCCUAAAUCCUUAACUCUGUGAUUCCUGGAGACUGAGGAGUACCAGCAGAAUGAUUUUAUGCAUGCCCUGCUUCUUACAGUCUGCCCUCCUGGAAACUGCUCAGAUCAGAGUGGUACUCGGGGGAAUGCACCCUUUGGUGUUCAGUUACCACCGUAUCAUUCAGCUGGACUUGUGAAUACCAUUUUGUGGGAUUUGCUAGGAAAAAUGUUUUUUAGGGUUCUUUUCAGGAAGCCUGCAGUCUCUGGCUGCUGACGUGAUCCUCCUCCGGCUUUGGAUGUUCUCUCUUGAAUACUCACUAUCAUUACUAGAGACUGCCUGGACUUCUUGGCUGUGCAGUGAUUGUGAUUCACACUUAACAGUCUCUGGGCAAUAUGCUCAGCGUGUGGAGCAUGUCAAAAUGUUUGCCUCUUUGCAGUUUUUCUGUAUCUUUCGAUACAAAAUCCUAUGCUUUAUAAACCGUCGUGUAGACCUUCUGAAGUCAUCAGUUGUAUGCAAAAGCAGCAAAGGGACAGAAUGAUGGAGGCACUGAAGAAACCAGUGGGUCAAGGAGGGCAGGUAGAGCUGCUUCUGCUGCAGUACCGACAGGAUUUAUGCUUUGGCAUUUGGCAUAUGCAGCAGGCAUUUAUGUGAGCCAGUUGUAGUCUUCCCAGUGAUGCCUAAAUUAAACCAGUACUGCUGCUGUAAAAAUAAUCCUUUUUGUUACCUAUGCACAGCUACUAAUUGCCAUUCCUUCCCAUCCAUUUCCCUGCUGUCCUAUUCCUCCAGGCUGUCAUCUGCAUUCGCUUGGCUGCUCUGGGUGUGUGCUUUCUUGAGCCCUGGGCCUUGGCAUUUUUGCAGACGCUGUAGUUUAGAGAGGUAUAAGAUCCCAUCGUAUACAAAUGGUUUUUCAUUUGUGAGUAGGAACGUAGCAUGCAGUGGAGGAGGAACAGAAACUAAAAUUAACGUUUGUGUUUGAAGGCAAGCAUGAUGUGCCUUUCUGGCCAGACACGUCUUCCUGGCCUAAUAUCUCCUGGAUUCAUGGUUCUCAAUAUCACAGACGUAACCCCAGGUGCUCUAUGCACCAGUCUCUUUUCUCUAACUUGCUGAAUUUGUGUAAGAUGUCUGUCUGCUAUCUUCUUUUCAGGCCUGAGAAGAAAAGAUAGCGUUAAAAGCCCUCUUCAGCAGCCAGUAAAUGUCUGUGGUUGCCUUACUGCUUGCAGGUAGUUUUGCUCAGAGGCUUGCAGCUCCAGAUGGCUAGUCAGCCAGUGCAGGGAUUCCUGCAUGAUCAUCACCCUCUGCUUAGUCCCCUGAGCCCACGAAGCGUUCAGAGAGUGUCUGGUUGUCUGCUCGCAGAUCUAGAAAAGUCAUGGGAAUGUCUGAAUGACCUACAACAAAACGAAGUGCUCAGACCUCUCAACCACCAGGCUCAGAAACAUAAGUCACGUUCCUCAAAUAAGUCAUGUUCUACUUGAUACCUCUUUCUCCAUUUGGCAUUUCCCAAGAACGAAGCCACUUACCAGAUACCAGCUCCUGCUACACCAGGAGGGAGUAUAAAGGCCAGUAUAGCAAAUGACCUGAACAGAGGAAAGCUAGUCCUGUAGCGGGGUCUGAGCCUGGAGACUCAGAUUCAAUCCCUUGCUUUCCAACAUGCUUCUGAGGUUUGUGUAUCCUGCCUGCCUUAGCCCCUGUUCAGGUAACAGAGGAGAGCAUGCCACAGGUGGACAGUGAACAUGAGGGGAUGUGACUGUUGAAAUGCAACCUGUUAUUUUUGAAUCUUAACUUGUUAAUUGCCUGCAUCUGAGUGUAUUUCAGCUGUGAAAUAAGGCUUUAGCAGAUCGGUCUCUUCAGAGCUGUCCUGUCGUCGCUUCGGAUCCUGUGAAUAGUGAGCGCAUGAGCUGAGGGCAGUGGUGGGAUGGGACCUCAGGCAUGUCCUUUCCUCCAAGUCUCAGAACAAGACCUGGAUGAAUAGCAGAAUUAAUUUUUCAUCCAGAAACUUGCACUCGAACAAUUUUUUUCAUUUUGGAGGCAAAAUUUGGGACCACCAUAAAGCAUUUGGUGAGAUCCUGUGCUCUGGCUCUUCUUUCCGUAAACGGUAGUUGUUUCUUUCAUUUUUCAUGUUUAGGUUACUAAAUCCAUGUCUUUUUUUUGACCCUAAUAAAAAGUGCCAUUUUUAAAAUGGAAAAUUGAGAAUGUCUCCAUUGAAAAUGCCUAAAUGAAGUGCUUCAGUGUUUCCUGAAAAUGACUUGGAUGCUUUUUCAAGUCACUCAACAAAUGAUCCAAACUCAUGUCUGUCUUCAGUCCCUCCAGAGUUCAUUUUCCCAGUGAGUGGCUCUGUUGAUGUGAUGUACAGGAACUGGUGGAGUCGGUGUGAGGCUGCUGCAAGACCUGUGGUGUCCGCACCCUAUGGGGCACUGGUGUCCCCAGCCUGCAGCGCGGUCCCUCCACUGGCUGAGGAGCCAGGGGAAUGCGAGGCGCCAGGGGAAUGCUGUCUACCUUGUUGUGUCCCCUGCCCCAGGGCAAAGCCUUGUACCUUUGCUCCUGAGAGGUCAGAGGCAAGGGAAGGACACUGCAGUACCACACACAGCAGGGUUCUGCAAAUAACUGAUAAGGCAAAGUGGAAACGAGAGUAAAAGUGACUGCACCUUUUGCCAGAGUCCAGUGGACUAGCUUUUAGCUCUGUUUCUUCACAGACCCUUCUGGGACCAGACUGGGAAAAUGGCUUGUGACUGUAAAAUAGUCUGAGGCUAAGGCGAAUCACAGGCAGUUCAGCUUCUUGUAAUAAAAGGGUUUUAACAUACACACAAAAACCUCAGAUAGCCUUGGCACUUCCCCUGCUUUCUGGUGAGUCAGUUCAUUAGGGGCAGUGCUCCUGGCAGUUUGUUCAGCCUCCUGCCUCAUCUCCUCCUCCUUAGAACUGCCUAACCGAGAUUUGCUAACCCCAGCAAUGUAUAAACAAAUGAAGAUAGGUCUGAGACCCUGGCAGAAGAGAUGUGAUUACACAGUUAAUAAUUGUUCUAAAUGUUUUCAAAUGGUGCUGCUCUCUGCGGGGUCAGCCAGCCAACAUCCCCGCAGGUGCCAAGGCUGGAGGUGCGAGCACCAGCUCCAGUGGUUGUGGUGUGGCCACCGUUCUGAGCUCUCAAAUUGCAGAGUCUGAGGCAGGUUUUUUGCACGCUUCUUGCAUUGAUUCGUUCUUGCUUAUUGCCUGGAAAAGAGUAAUUCCUCUUGCAGGAAUAAAAACAAAAAAAAAGUUACAAGUUAAGAAAAGUGAGAAUAAUUAUCUUCUGCAUCUACAUCCUGGAGGUUUUUAGGUCUUGUGCUACCUCUCCUCUCUGGAGUGGUGCUAGGAACCCAGCCUUACUGCUGGUGGGACACUAGCAGCUGCAAGGAGGAGGCAGGAGGCUGCCCGUGUUGCGGGGAGGAGGUUAUGGAAGGAAUGCUGCUGGCUUGUGAGAAAGGAGCCAAGGUCAUGAGGACUGCACAUGCAGCCAUAAGCAGGAGUGGGAGGGAGUCUGCAGUGGGGGCGAGCGCAGGCAGUGAUGUGUCAGCUCCUGCGGCAGGACGAGGGAUGCACAGCUGCUCUGAGCGCUGUUUUCCCAGCCUUAGGUAGGGUCAGAAGUGUUUUUGGCUCGGAAGUUCAGCUCAGCUAUACCAUUUCAAUUAUGGGCUUGCUUAACUCAAGUAAGGCUAUCAGGAAAGUUGUUGGCUGGAUCAAUACUACAUGGAGUACGGAUCCUUCAAACGCUAGUGUGCCGGUCAAUUUAAACUCUUACUUCAGUAAUAAAAUAAGGAUGAGUUCUGCAUCGUGAAGAGAAUAAAAUCAAUGUGUAACUAUAGUCACAUGUGCCUGUAAUGAUCUGGCACAGGUUUUAUUGCACGGACUUUGGAUGCAUUGUUUAGGGGAAAUUGUUCAGAAAUGUUCCUAAUGGAGAUUAAGCUGGAAGGAGCUCUGUGCCAGUUGGACAACAAUACGCUACUUCGGCAUUCUUGUGUUGCUGGUUUUUCACUUAUUUUUUUUCCUUACUUGCUUACAUCAGAGAGACUGCGCUUUAAAUCUUAAAGCUAGGAUUCUGCAGCAGUCAAUAAACCUGUCAGCUUCUGUGAUGCUGAGAGUAAAACUUUGAGUAACAGUAAACAAAUGAGGAAAUUAACAUUUUUAAUAAGGUAGCCUGGUCCCAGGGUUUUACAUCCUUGCUCUAAAAAUCCCUUAGCCCCCAGUAUGUAUGUAUUAAAGGUCAAUAGCCAGAUGGUGACUUCGUGCAGCUGAAGAAUACCAACAUACUUAUACUUGAGUGUGUUACUCUUCUGCCUUUCCCUGGUGUGUCUAGGACAUUAAUGCGUUAGGUGAGUAGCCGUCCAUACAGUAUGUCUUUCUCGCUUUACCCUAAUAGCCUGGCUUUCCAAACCACGUAUGUGCUCACAGUAGCUGUGUGUUUUUCACGGUUAUUCAUUCUUUUUUUUUUUUAAAAGAAACAUUUUAAUGACAGGUUUUGUUCAUUUUGAGGUGUGUUGUAAAAAUAAGCAGAUGUAAAAGAAUUCUGGACAGCCAUCUAUGUUGAGGAA